GUGCUCGCCGAGGCAGCACAGAUACUAAAAUUGGAACGAUACAGAGAAGAUUAGCAUGGCCCCUGUGCAAGGAUGACGUGCAAAGUCGUGAAUUCAGAGUCAUAAAG